rnacentral:rRNA from 1 species
UACAGAGGGUGCGAGCGUUAAUCGGAAUUAUUGGGCGUAAAGGGCUCGUAGGCGGUUUGUCGCGUCGGGAGCGAAAUCCACUGGCUUAACUGGUGGCUUGCUUUCGAUACGGGCAGACUGGAGGUAUGCAGGGGAGAACGGAAUUCCUGGUGUAGCGGUGAAAUGCGCAGAUAUCAGGAGGAACACCGGUGGCGAAGGCGGGUCUCUGGGCCGAUACUGACGCUGAGGAGCGAAAGCGUGGGGAGCGAACAGG